rnacentral:lncRNA from 1 species
UGGAAUCACAUUCGAUGUGUUCUGCUCUGAAACUAUCUUAAUUGGCUCUGAUCUAUGCUCAUUAAUCUUAUUCUAAUAUUAUUGCCUUGAGUUAUAUGAUUCAUAUCCUUACAAUAAUUUGACAUGCAAAUCAAAGUACAAUAAGAAAAAGAAAUAUUUGAGUAGUCUUAUCUUUGUGCUUAAUGUUUCACUAUCUUUUUGAUGUUGUCAAAAAGGGGGAGAAAUAUCUAAAUAUAUGUUCAUAAUGCUUUAUGUUUUGAAUUGAAUACAAACUAGCUUAAAUUUAGAUAUGUUGAUUAUGUUAAGCUGAUUAAAUCUAAAGCAUUAUCAUGAAGUAUGUUUUAAAUAUAUAUCUUUUCUACUUCAUGCAACUUAGCUAUGCACUACUUCUAGAACACAAUAUAUUUUAUAUUGCAUAUACUCCAAGU